GAUGAACGCUGGCGGCGUGCCUAAUACAUGCGAGUCGAGCGAACAGACGAGGAGCUUGCUCCUCUGACGUUAGCGGCGGACGGGUGAGUAACACGUGGAUAACCUACCUAUAAGACUGGGAUAACUUCGGGAAACCGGAGCUAAUACCGGAUAAUAUAUUGAACCGCAUGGUUCAAUAGUGAAAGACGGUUUUGCUGACACUUAUAGAUGGAUCCGCGCCGCAUUAGCUAGUUGGUAAGGUAACGGCUUACCAAGGCAACGAUGCGUAGCCGACCUGAGAGGGUGAUCGGCCACACUGGAACUGAGACACGGUCCAGACUCCUACGGGAGGCAGCAGUAGGGAAUCUUCCGCAAUGGGCGAAAGCCUGACGGAGCAACGCCGCGUGAGUGAUGAAGGUCUUCGGAUCGUAAAACUCUGUUAUUAGGGAAGAACAAAUGUGUAAGUAACUAUGCACGUCUUGACGGUACCUAAUCAGAAAGCCACGGCUAACUACGUG
rnacentral:rRNA from 1 species